rnacentral:rRNA from 1 species
GAGUGAUUUCUGAUAAAGGAAUCUUUUGCCCGUUGUAAACGCACGGGCGAAUAAGGGGUGGGCAAGUCUGGUGUCAGCCGCCGCGGUAAUACCAGCACCUCGAGUGGUCAGGACGAUUAUUGGGCCUAAAGCAUCCGUAGCUGGUUUUGCAAGUCUCCGGUUAAAUCCACCUGCUCAACAGAUGGGCCGCUGGAGAUACUACAAGACUAGGGAGUGGGAGAGGCAGACGGUACUCGGGGGGUAGGGGUAAAAUCCUCUGAUCCUUUGAAGACCACCAGUGGCGAAGGCGGUCUGCCAGAACACGUUCGACAGUGAGGGAUGAAAGCUGGGGGAGCAAACCGGAUUAGAUACCCGGGUAGUCCCAGCUGUAAACGAUGCAGACUCGGUGAAGCGUUGGUUUAUGGCCAAUGCUGUGCCGCAGGGAAGCCGUUAAGUCUGCCGCCUGGGAAGUACGGUCGCAAGAUUGAAACUUAAAGGAAUUGGCGGGGGAGCACCACAAGGGGUGAAGCCUGCGGUUCAAUUGGAGUCAACGCCAGGAAUCUUACCCGGGGAGACAGCAGAAUGAAGGUCAAGCUGAAGACUUUACCAGACAAGCUGAGAGGAAGUGCAUGGCC